CGAAAGCAUCCUGUAAGCUCCUCCAAAAGUGGGAUGCAAAACGGGGGUCUCGAUCUGAAACAAUAGAUGUAGGUACCCCGUGCAAUUGCACAAUCUCAUCCAAGUAAACCUGUGCGAGUCUCUCACCAAUCCAAGUAGUGUGGAUAGGUAUGAAAUGGGCCGAUUUCGUCAGCCUAUCCAUGAUCACCCAAAUAGCGUUGUGCCCGGCCUGUGAGCGAGGCAAUCCCAUCACGAAAUCCAUGGUGAUCUUUUCCCACUUUCAUACUGGAAUCGAUAGGCUCUGAAGUUUUCCCGCGGGAACUCGGUGCUCAGCUUUCACCUGUUGGCAAGUUAAGCAUCUGGCAACAAACUCACCAACAUCCUUUUUCAUCUCGGGCCACCAGUAAAGUAACUUCAAGUCCUUGUACAUCUUGGUGCCUCCCGGAUAUAUAGCAUACGGUGCUCGGUGUGCUUCUUGAAGAAUAUCCUCUUUAAUGCCCAAGUCCGCCGGUAUACAAAGUCGUCCGCGGAAACGCAUCAAUCCAUCUCCGUCUAAAGUGAAGUCACCGGUGCAACCAUCAACCAUCUUAGCUCGAAUCUUUUGCAAUUCCACAUCGGAAGCUUGCUUUUCUUUAAUCCUUUCCAUAAGUGUAGGUUGCACCACCAAAGUCAUCAGUCUCAAAGGUGUAUCAGGAGCCACCACCUCCAACUCCAACCGCUUCAUCUGCUCGAUCAACAGCGGUUGAGUGACCACAAACAUCGCUAAGUUUUUCGUCGAUUUCCAACUUAGCGCAUCCGCAACCACGUUAGCCUUGCCCGGGUGGUAAAGAAUCGUCAGGUCGUAAUCCUUGAGCAGCUCCAACCAUCGGCGCUGCCUCAGGUUCAACUCCUUCUGAGUGAAUAAAUACUUUAAGCUCUUGUGAUUCGUAUAUACUUCGCACUGCUCGCCGUAUAAAUAAUGGUGCCAUAGCUUCAAUACAAAAACCACGACCGCCAAUUCCAAGUCGUGAGUAGGGUAAUUCCUUUCAUACUCCUUCAAUUGGCGAGAUGCAUAAGCGAUCACUUUCCCGUCCUAAAUCAAGACAUAGCCCAAUCCAUUAAAGGAAGUAUCACUAUAAAUCACAUACCCUGCUCCAGCAGUUGGCAAGGUUAGGAUCGGGGCGGUCGUCAAUCUCUGCUUCAACUCUUGGAAGCUCCUUUCACACGCAUCAUUCCAGAUAAACUUGGUGCCUUUGUGCGUGAGCCUCGUGAGGGGAGUAGAUAACUUUGCAAAUCCCUCAACAAACCGUCGGUAGUAGCUGGCCAAACCAAUGAAGCUCCGUAUCUCGGUCACACUCGUCGGCCUCGGCCAAUCCUUGAUAGCUUCAAUUUUCCUUGGAUCCACAACUAUCCCUGCUCCUGAAAUCAAAUGGCCUAAAAACGCCACCUCUCUAAGCCAAAACUCACAUUUUUUCAACUUAGCAUAGAGCUUCUUUUCCCGAAGCACUUGAAGUACAAGUCUCAACUGUUCCUCGUGAUCCGCAUCACUUCGGGAAUAGACCAAAAUGUCGUCGAUGAACACCACGGCAAACCUGUCUAAAUAAGGCUUGAAAACACGUUUCAUUAAAUCCAUAAAAGCUGCCGGGGCAUUAGUAAGCCCAAACGGCAUAACGGUAAACUCAUAAUGUCCAUAUCGUGUUCUAAAAGCCGUCUUUGACACAUCCUCAGGCUUGAUCUUCAACUGGUGAUAUCCCGACUGCAAGUCAAUCUUGGAAUACACACAAGACCCCUGGAGCUGAUCAAGUAGAUCAUCAAUCCUCAGUAAUGGAUACUUGUUCUUGAUCGUGACUUUAUUAAGUUCACGAUAGUCCACGCACAAGCGAAAUGAUCCAUCAUUCUUUUUGACAAAUAGGACCGGUGCUCCCCAAGGUGACACACUCGGUCGCACAAAACCCUUAUCCAAAAGAUCCUCCAACUGUGCCUUCAGCUCUCUCAAUUCAGCUGGUGCCAUCCUAUAGGGCGCCUUUAAGAUUGGAGUAGUCCCAGGAACGAGAUCUACCACAAACUCAAUCUCUCUAUCAGGUGGCAUGCCUGGAAGCUCUGCUGGGAACACAUCUCCAAACUCCCGCACUUCGUGGAUAUCCUCAAUCCUAGGGGUGUCAUCCUCACCCCGCAACACAACAGUAGCCAAGUAGGCUACGCAGCCUCUACUAAUCAACUGCCUAGCUCGAGAGGAGCUAAUCGUCAUCGCAAACAGCGAACUCUGGCAUCCUCGGUACACAACCUCCGCCUGCUCCGGCUCUCUAAAUGUUACCGUUCGAUCCUUGCAAUCGAUAGUGGGGUAGUACUUAGUCAACCAAUCCAUGCCGAACACAACAUCAAACUCCCCGAGUUUAUGCAACACUAGUAAGUCCACGGGCAUGAUCCAAUCUCCAACCCGAGCAGAGCAACUGGGGCAAAACUCUCGAAUGUCCAAGGAAUGGUCGCGUACAACAACUCGGCCCGGGUGUAACAAAGAUACAAGUGGGAUGCCAUGCAACUCGGCAAACAGCCGGUCUAUGAAUGAAUGCGAUGCGCCGGUAUCAAACGCUCCUCGUGAUCUGCAUUGUUUGAUUCAAAUCUCUUCUAAUGCUCCAAAAGAGAGCUAGAAUCCUUCCAAUCCAACCUAAUGGAAGAUUCUAAUCCACUCAAAUAAGCUCCAAAAGCCCUAGAUUCAAAACGCCGAAAAAUAAGCCCUAAAACCACAUCUAGGGUUUCAUCUCAAAGAAACCUCCAAAAUUCAAAUCUAGAGGGAAGGAUCUUGUCACUUACCUCUUAGAAGCUCCAAUCCAUGCUCAAAGUCUUCAAUCAACCAAGAUCUUUCCUCAACCAAGCCUCAAAUCCAAGCUUCAAGCUUCAUCCAUGGUGGAAAAGGCACUAAAGGGCAAAAGAGAGAAGAAAUCCAUCAAAAACCAUGCAAAAUGGAGAUCAAAUCCAAAGAGAUGGUGGAGAGGGUCCCCUUACCUUGUUUCCCUAAGUUCUCAGCUCAAGAGAAGCCCUAGGGGGCGUGGGUGCUGAUAUAAGAAGCCCACAAUCGCGAAAAACCCCCUGCAGUUCAAAUUGCACGAAAUCAGCCCCCUUGUACCGGUACACGGGCCCUUAUUCCGGUACAAGACCCACGAAAAGCCAAACCCGAGGCUCGGGUUGUGGGGUUCUGCGGCCCUGUACCGGUACAAGCCCGGUGGCUGUACCGGUACAACCAUCAACCUUGUACCGGUACAGCCACAGCCUUGUACCGGUACAAGCCCUGCUGAGGGCUACCCGAGAGCUGACCAACUUCCAAUUUUUUGGGUUUUGGUACACAGCUUUAAACCACAAUUCUUGGGAUACGUGCCAUAGGUCGGAACACAGUCAACGACCCUCCAGAAAAUCUGGAAGAGCUCAGGACACAUCCAAACACUCGAACCUUGCAAUUUGCAAAGGUCCAGUGUGCUACAUUCACCCCUCCUAAAAAGGAGUUUCGUCCGCAAAACUCAAAACAAGCAAAGUACCUCAAGCAUCCAUCUGAAAAAGAUGGGGAUAGCGCUCCCGCAGUGCGCUCUCCAACUCCCAAGUGGCCUCGCGCUCGUCGUGGUUGCUCCAAAGCACCUUCACGUAGGGAAUUUUCCGGUUCCGCAAUCUUUUCACCUCGCGAGCCAAAAUCUUCAAAGGUUGCUCCUCAAAGCUCAAGUCCUCCCGCAACUCCAAAGGUGUAGCCUCCAAUACAUGAGUCGGGUCGAAGAUGUACUUCUGAAGGACCGAUACAUGAAAGACGUUAUGCACGCCCGAUAGGUUCGGUGGUAGAGCGAGUCGAUAUGCUACCGGACCUACCCGCUCCAAGAUCUCAUACGGUCCAAUGAAACGGGGACUCAACUUACCCCGAAUCCCAAAUGUCCUUAUUCCUCUAGUCGGCGAGACCUUUAAGAAAACAUAGUCUCCAACUUGGAACUCCAAGUCUCGCCGCCGUCGAUCAGCAUAGCUCUUCUGUCUGCUAUGCGCUGUCAAAAGUCGCUCCCGAGUAAUGCGAAUCUUGUCCUCAGCUUCCUGGAGCACAUCAGGGCCUAAAGCCAAUCUCUCGCCCACUUCACUCCAAUGAAGGAGCGAUCUACACUUCCGUCCAUAGAGGGCCUCGAAGGGUGCCAUCUUGAUGCUUGCUUGAUAACUGUUGUUAUAAGCAAACUCCGCCAUAGGUAGAUGCUGCGACCAUCCUUCCUGGAAGUCUAUCACACAUGCCCAGAGCAUAUCCUCUAAGGUCUGAAUAGUGCGCUUCGACUGUCCAUCACUCUGCGGGUGGAAUGCGGUACUGAAAUCCAAAUGAGUGCCUAAGCCGUCCUGCAGACUCCUCCAAAAGUGAGACACGAAGCCCGUGUCGCGAUCAGAUACGAUCGAUGUAGGAACUCCAUGAAGUCGCACAAUCUCAUCAAGGUACACUUGUGCGAGCUUUUCCCCGGUCCAAGUAGUAUGAAUAGGCACGAAAUGCGCCGACUUCGUCAACCUAUCCACGAUCACCCAAAUAGUAUCGUGCCCUGCUUGGGAGCGAAGCAAUCCUGUCACAAAGUCCAUAGUGAUCUUCUCCCAUUUCCACACGAGAAUAGGCAAACUCUGAAGUUUUCCCGCAGGAACUCGGUGCUCAGUCUUUACUUGUUGGCAAGUUAAACAUCUAGCAACAAACUCACAAACGUCCUUUUUCAUCCCGGGCCACCAAUAGAGCAACUUUAAAUCCUUGUACAUUUUGGUGCCUCCCGGAUGUAUAGCAUAGGGUGCCCGGUGCGCCUUUUGAAGAAUAUCCUCUUUAAUUUCCGAAUCUACCGGUACACAGAUCCGUCCGCGGAAAUGCAUUAGCCCUCGGUCGUCCACUAGGAACUCGCUAGUGCAACCAUCAACCAUUCUACCUCGAAUCUUUUGCAAUUCCAGAUCGAAAACUUGCUUCCCUUUGAUUCUAUCCAAAAGAAUAGGUUGCACUACCAAGGUCAUCAAUCUCAAGGGUGUGUCGGGAGUCACUAUCUCCAACUCCAACUGCUUGAUCUGCUCAAUCAACUGCGGUUGAGUCACAACAUGCAUCGCUAAGUUUUCCAUCGAUUUCCUACUUAGCGCAUCCGCCACCACGUUAGUCUUGCCCGGGUGGUAAAGGAUCGUCAGAUUAUAAUCCUUGAGUAGCUCCAACCAUCUGCGCUGCCUCAAGUUCAACUCUUUCUGAGUAAACAGGUACUUCAAGCUCUUGUGAUCCGUAUACACUUCACACCGCUCGCCAUAAAGGUAAUGGCGCCAUAGCUUCAAUGCGAACACCACGGCCGCCAACUCCAAAUCAUGCGUAGGGUAGUUCUUUUCAUACUCCUUCAGUUGGCGAGAAGCAUACGCGAUCACCUUGCCAUCCUGCAUCAAUACACAGCCCAAACCAUUAAGUGAAGCAUCACUAUAAACCACAUACCCUGCUCCAGCUACUGGUAAGGUCAAGAUCGGGGCGGUCGUCAAUCUUUGCUUCAACUCUCGGAAGCUUCGCUCGCACGCAUCAUUCCAAAUGAACUUGACUCCUUUAUGCGUGAGCCUCGUGAGGGGAAUAGACAAUUUAGCAAACCCCUCUACAAAUCUCCGGUAGUAGCCGGCCAAUCCAAGAAAGCUCCGUAUCUCCGUGACGCUCGUCGGUCUCGGCCAAUCCUUAAUUGCUUCAAUCUUCUUAGGAUCCACGGCUAUACC
rnacentral:lncRNA from 1 species